CAAAAAGAUCAGGAACCCUCAAAAAUUUGGGGAUACUUCGCUAUGUUUCAAUGAAUUAUGUGCAAAAACUCAAUUUCUUAGUGAUUAAGGAUGAUAUUUGCCAAGCCAGAUGUUCGGAAGGAGACCGGAGGGAGAAGCAGUCACCUUGUUUUCCGCACCAUCAGGAGGUGAAAUCCUUUUUGACGAAGGCCAAGUUGACCUUCUCUCUGAAAGCAAGUGGCACCUUAAAAAUCUCAGAAAGCCAUGAACUGAUUGUUAGAGAUGAAAGCCCAAUAUGGACUUAGUGCGGAAGCUAGAAGAUAGAAACGAAAUGAACAACUCACAACCGGAGACACAAGGAUUUACGUGGUUCGGAGGUUGGCCUCCUACGUCAACGGGCGGCGAUGAAAAACUCCACUAGAUGUAGAAGAAGUAUAGAAUAGCACUCCCCAUAACCCAGAAUAUAGACCUCUAAUCUUGGCCCUCAAAGAACUCACUAGUCCUUCACCAACAAGUAGAGAUCACUCUGUUGGAAACUCACUCCCAAC
rnacentral:lncRNA from 1 species